CUGUCAUGCAUUGGAGAAUGGACUGGCAGAGUGAGAUUGAGAGCAGGGAGGAAGUGAGGCGGCUACUGUGUCAUCCAGAUACCAGGUCAAGUGUGAUGGUGAGGGAGGACACUGGUGUCCCUUUCACAGCUGCGCAAAAGAGAGCAGAUGGAACUUGAACUUGGCCGGGGCUGUCACCCAGGAUGGCUUUCAAAGGACAUUUUCUAGGAUGGCUCUCCUUCUCUGCUCCCACUACCUCCCUCGAGAGAAGGGCUGUUCUGGGUUUGUUCUUCCCUCCCCAGUACCACCUCUCCAUAUCUGGCCAAUUCAUUUGUUCAUUCAUUCAUUCCACAAAAAUCUGCUGAGCACCUCCCCUGUCCUAGGCCCUUGAAUACAAAAGUGAAUGAGACAGAUAUGCUUCCUGCCCUCAAGCUACUGAUUGUCUAGGGAAGACAGACAGACAACAAACAAGAGAAUAAAUACAGAAAAUAA